CCUACGGGAGGCAGCAGUGAGGAAUAUUGGUCAAUGGGCGAGAGCCUGAACCAGCCAAGUCGCGUGAAGGAUGACGGCCCUACGGGUUGUAAACUUCUUUUGUAAGGGAGCAAUUGGGUCCACGAGUGGGCUUAGCGAGAGUACCUGAAGAAAAAGCAUCGGCUAACUCCGUGCCAGCAGCCGCGGUAAUACGGGGGAAGCGAGUGUUAUCCGGAUUUAUUUGGUUUAAAGGGUGCGUAGGAGGAAUAUCAAGUCAGCUGUAAAAAUUCGGGGCUCAACCCCGUCGUGCCGUUGAAACUGAUGUUCUUGAGUGGGCGAGAAGUAUGCGGAAUGCGUGGUGUAGCGGUGAAAUGCAUAGAUAUCACGCAGAACUCCGAUUGCGAAGGCAGCAUACCGGCGCCCAACUGACGCUGAAGCACGAAAGCGUGGGUAUCGAACAGGAUUAGAUACCCGUGUAGUC
rnacentral:rRNA from 1 species